GUGACGAUAGUGUAGUGGUAACAUGCCUGACUGUGAAUCAGGAGUCCACGGUUCGAUUCCGUCCGUCACC
rnacentral:tRNA from 1 species